CAAAAUUUAUUUGGGAUGGUCAAACUUGAAAUGAUCAUAUAUUUAUGAAAAAAUUACACACUAUACAUAAAAAUAACUCUUUAAUUAUAUGAUAUGAUUAAGGUUAUAAAAAAUUAUCCUACAUAAUUAUUUGUUAGUUAUAAAAUUAUUUUUUUGUGGGUCCCUAUAUACAAAUAUAAUUUGCAAUGUAUAUAGCAAAUAAUACUCCCUCUCUCAUGUUAUUAAUUUUUUAUAAUCUCUCUCUUAGCUAAUUGGCUAGUUUUGCGGCAUUAACUUAUGCACGUUUCUUGAACAUAUCUCAAAGAAACUUUUUCUCCCAAAUCCGUUGAUUUUUUGUCUUCCCCUAAACAUCUGUUGUGGGUUUGAAUUGAAGAUUUGUUUGAGUAAUUUCUCAUCCCUAAACAUCUACGGGAAUAUACAUUGAAGAUUUCGAGGUAAUCUUUAGUUUUUAGGAUAUAUAAAUUUUUUCCUUGAUUUUUUUAGAUAUUCUCUAAAUGAGCCGUUAAGUUUCUUCAAAUUUCAUCUAUUUCGUAGAAUAGAAUAAAUAAUUUGGAAAUCUAAUUGUAUAUUAGUUUCAAUUUCACAGAAUAAAUUUUGAUGAAUUAAUUUCAUAAUUGGGUAUUUGAUUCAAUUUUAGUGAAUUUGAUAAUUGUAUAUAGGUG
rnacentral:lncRNA from 1 species